GGGCCAGUGGCGCAAUGGAUAACGCGUCUGACUACGAAUUAGAAGGCUGUAGGUUCAACUCCUGCCUGGCUCG
rnacentral:tRNA from 2 species